UACGUAGGGUGCAAGCGUUGUCCGGAAUUAUUGGGCGUAAAGGGCUCGUAGGCGGUCCAUCGCGUCGGGAGUGAAAAGCUGGGGCUUAACCCCAGUCCUGCUUCCGAUACGGGUGGACUAGAGGUAGGUAGGGGAGAACGGAAUUCCUGGUGUAGCGGUGAAAUGCGCAGAUAUCAGGAGGAACACCAGCAGCGAAGGCGGCGCUCUGGGCUGGAACUGACGCUGAGGAGCGAAAGCGUGGGUAGCAAACAGG
rnacentral:rRNA from 1 species